rnacentral:rRNA from 1 species
CCUACGGGAGGCAGCAGUGGGGAAUAUUGGACAAUGGGCGCAAGCCUGAUCCAGCCAUACCGCGUGGGUGAAGAAGGCCUUCGGGUUGUAAAGCCCUUUUGUUGGGAAAGAAAAGCAGUCGGCUAAUACCCGGUUGUUCUGACGGUACCCAAAGAAUAAGCACCGGCUAACUUCGUGCCAGCAGCCGCGGUAAUACGAAGGGUGCAAGCGUUACUCGGAAUUACUGGGCGUAAAGCGUGCGUAGGUGGUUGUUUAAGUCUGUUGUGAAAGCCCUGGGCUCAACCUGGGAAUUGCAGUGGAUACUGGGCGACUAGAGUGUGGUAGAGGGUAGUGGAAUUCCCGGCGUAGCAGUGAAAUGCGUAGAGAUCGGGAGGAACAUCCAUGGCGAAGGCAGCUACCUGGACCAACACUGACACUGAGGCACGAAAGCGUGGGGAGCAAACAGGAUUAGAUACCCUGGUAGUCCACGCCCUAAACGAUGCGAACUGGAUGUUGGGUGCAAUUUGGCACGCAGUAUCGAAGCUAACGCGUUAAGUUCGCCGCCUGGGGAGUACGGUCGCAAGACUGAAACUCAAAGGAAUUGACGG